GGUCAUUAUUCACUUCCGGCUGAAUUUUUUUUCAGAAGUGUGCAAUAAUGCAGCGGUCACUUGCAAAAAGCCUGCCAAGGCUAUUAAAUUUGGCUAAAUCAGAUAUCACUAAAUGUUCGAUUAAUGGAACGCAAGUUGUCAACUACUCACAGAAACAAACAGAACCCAAGAACUUAUCACGAUAUGGGGGAAGAAAUACAGUAACACUUUUAACAGGCGAUGGAGUAGGCCCAGAAUUAAUGUCUCAUGUACAGGAAGUCUUUAGACAUGCUGGUGCUCCAAUUGAUUUUGAAGAAGUAGAGAUAAAUGCAUCAAAAGAAGAUCCAGAAACAAUGAGAGGGGCUCUGUUAUCAGUUCAGAGAAAUGGUGUUGCCAUUAAAGGAAAUAUUGAAACAAAAUUUGAUGAUCCCAGUUUCAAAUCAAUGAAUGUUGAAUUAAGAACACAGUUAAAUUUAUUUGCAAGUGUUGUUUGGUGUAGAUCUAUACCUGCUGUGAAAACCAGACAUAAUAACAUAGAUCUGAUCCUAAUUAGAGAGAACACAGAAGGAGAAUAUACAAACUUAGAACAUGAAAAUGUCCCAGGAGUGGUAGAAAGCUUGAAAAUAAUCACAGCAGAAAAGUCCACAAAAAUAGCCAAAUAUGCUUUUGAUUUUGCUAAAAGACAUGGACGAAAGAAAGUUACAGCUAUUCAUAAGGCUAAUAUAAUGAAACUUGGAGAUGGUUUAUUUUUAGAAAGCUGUAGAAAAGUUGCUUGUUUGUAUCCAGAUAUAGAGUUUAAUGAUAUGAUCAUAGAUAAUGCUAGUAUGCAGAUGGUAUCUAGACCCCAGCAAUUUGAUGUGUUAUUGAUGCCUAACUUGUAUGGUAAUAUCCUGAGUAACAUAGCAGCAGGCUUGGUUGGUGGACCAGGUGUGGUGCCCGGUAUGAAUCUGGGUGAAGACUAUGCAGUAUUUGAAUUAGGAACAAGGAAUUCAGGAAGAUCUUUGAAAGGAAAGAACAUAGCCAAUCCCUCAGGGAUGUUAUUAGCAGCUUGUGACAUGUUAGAUUAUUUAGGCCAAUAUGAACAUGCCACUUUAAUAAGAGACUCUGUGAUGGAUGUAUUAUGUGAAAAGAAGAUCCAUACCCCAGACUUGGGAGGACAAGCAACAACAUUAGAGGUUGUACAGGCUAUAAUAGACGAUAUCAAACCUAAAGCUAGAAGUUGGAGUGGAAAUGUAGCACAAAAUUUAUACAGUGCAAAACCAUGACACCAGUCAUAGUGGUAACAAACGCCUUGAACAACCAAUUCAAUCCUUGCAUAAGAGCAUUCAGAAACUGAUGAGAUGAAUCUCUUGAUCUUUUAACUUCAACUUUCUGGACUGUGAUAAAGUAAUAAAAGUUUAUAUGGAAUGUUUAUAACAGAUUUUCCUGUAUAAAAACUAGUUACAGCUGAUGGAAGUCAAUAACUUUAAGCUAUCAAUUCAAUACAUUAUCUUCAAGAUUCAUUAUGUGAAAUCCUCUUAAUAAGAUCAAAAAGUUACUUCAUAAAUAAGACAAUAAAUUGUUUUCAUACAUGUA